UACGGAGGGGGCGAGCGUUGUUCGGAAUUACUGGGCGUAAAGAGCGUGUAGGCGGUUAGGUAAGUCAGGCGUGAAAGCCCUCGGCUCAACCGAGGAAGGGCGCUUGAUACUGCUUUUCUAGAGUACGGGAGAGGAGGGUGGAAUUCCCGGUGUAGCGGUGAAAUGCGUAGAUAUCGGGAAGAACACCGGUGGCGAAGGCGGCCCUCUGGACCGUUACUGACGCUGAGACGCGAAAGCUAGGGGAGCAAACGGG
rnacentral:rRNA from 1 species